rnacentral:rRNA from 1 species
AUUGAACGCUGGCGGCAGGCCUAACACAUGCAAGUCGAGCGGAUGAAGGGAGCUUGCUGCUGGAUUCAGCGGCGGACGGGUGAGUAAUGCCUAGGAAUCUGCCUGGUAGUGGGGGAUAACGUCCGGAAACGGGCGCUAAUACCGCAUACGUCCUGAGGGAGAAAGUGGGGGAUCUUCGGACCUCACGCUAUCAGAUGAGCCUAGGUCGGAUUAGCUAGUUGGUGGGGUAAAGGCCUACCAAGGCGACGAUCCGUAACUGGUCUGAGAGGAUGAUCAGUCACACUGGAACUGAGACACGGUCCAGACUCCUACGGGAGGCAGCAGUGGGGAAUAUUGGACAAUGGGCGAAAGCCUGAUCCAGCCAUGCCGCGUGUGUGAAGAAGGUCUUCGGAUUGUAAAGCACUUUAAGUUGGGAGGAAGGGCAGUAAGUUAAUACCUUGCUGUUUUGACGUUACCAACAGAAUAAGCACCGGCUAACUUCGUG